ACUAAGCGUACACGGUGGAUGCCCUGGCAGUCAGAGGCGAUGAAGGGCGUGCUAAUCUGCGAUAAGCGCCGGUAAGGUGAUAUGAACCGUUAUAACCGGCGAUACCCGAAUGGGGAAACCCAGUGUGAUUCGUCACACUAUCAUUAACUGAAUCCAUAGGUUAAUGAGGCGAACCGGGGGAACUGAAACAUCUAAGUACCCCGAGGAAAAGAAAUCAACCGAGAUUCCCCCAGUAGCGGCGAGCGAACGGGGAGGAGCCCAGAGCCUGAAUCAGCAUGUGUGUUAGUGGAAGCGUCUGGAAAGGCGCGCGAUACAGGGUGACAGCCCCGUACACAAAAGCGCAUGUGCUGUGAGCUCGAUGAGUAGGGCGGGACACGUGGUAUCCUGUCUGAAUAUGGGGGGACCAUCCUCCAAGGCUAAAUACUCCUGACUGACCGAUAGUGAACCAGUACCGUGAGGGAAAGGCGAAAAGAACCCCGGCGAGGGGAGUGAAAAAGAACCUGAAACCGUGUACGUACAAGCAGUGGGAGCACCCUUCGGGGUGUGACUGCGUACCUUUUGUAUAAUGGGUCAGCGACUUAUAUUCUGUAGCAAGGUUAACCGAAUAGGGGAGCCGGAGGGAAACCGAGUCUUAAUUGGGCGUUAAGUUGCAGGGUAUAGACCCGAAACCCGGUGAUCUAGCCAUGGGCAGGUUGAAGGUUGGGUAACACUAACUGGAGGACCGAACCGACUAAUGUUGAAAAAUUAGCGGAUGACCUGUGGCUGGGGGUGAAAGGCCAAUCAAACCGGGAGAUAGCUGGUUCUCCCCGAAAGCUAUUUAGGUAGCGCCUCGUGAAUUCAUCUCCGGGGGUAGAGCACUGUUUCGGCUAGGGGGCCAUCCCGGCUUACCAACCCGAUGCAAACUGCGAAUACCGGAGAAUGUUAUCACGGGAGACACACGGCGGGUGCUAACGUCCGUCGUGAAGAGGGAAACAACCCAGACCGCCAGCUAAGGUCCCAAAGUCAUGGUUAAGUGGGAAACGAUGUGGGAAGGCCCAGACAGCCAGGAUGUUGGCUUAGAAGCAGCCAUCAUUUAAAGAAAGCGUAAUAGCUCACUGGUCGAGUCGGCCUGCGCGGAAGAUGUAACGGGGCUAAACCAUGCACCGAAGCUGCGGCAGCGAACGUAUCACCCAAGACAACUUUACGGAGUUGACGAUUGACGGAGCGAAGCGACGUCAAAGCGUUCAUUAAAGUCGAGUUGGCUUAGGGAUACGUUCGUUGGGUAGGGGAGCGUUCUGUAAGCCUGUGAAGGUGUGUCGUGAGGCAUGCUGGAGGUAUCAGAAGUGCGAAUGCUGACAUAAGUAACGAUAAAGCGGGUGAAAAGCCCGCUCGCCGGAAGACCAAGGGUUCCUGUCCAACGUUAAUCGGGGCAGGGUGAGUCGACCCCUAAGGCGAGGCCGAAAGGCGUAGUCGAUGGGAAACGGGUUAAUAUUCCCGUACUUGGUGUUACUGCGAAGGGGGGACGGAGAAGGCUAUGUUGGCCGGGCGACGGUUGUCCCGGUUUAAGCGUGUAGGUGUGUGUUCCAGGUAAAUCCGGUUCACUUUAACACUGAGGCGUGACGACGAGGCACUACGGUGCUGAAGCAACAAAUGCCCUGCUUCCAGGAAAAGCCUCUAAGCAUCAGGUAACAUCAAAUCGUACCCCAAACCGACACAGGUGGUCAGGUAGAGAAUACCAAGGCGCUUGAGAGAACUCGGGUGAAGGAACUAGGCAAAAUGGUGCCGUAACUUCGGGAGAAGGCACGCUGACACGUAGGUGAAGUGAUUUACUCACGGAGCUGAAGUCAGUCGAAGAUACCAGCUGGCUGCAACUGUUUAUUAAAAACACAGCACUGUGCAAACACGAAAGUGGACGUAUACGGUGUGACGCCUGCCCGGUGCCGGAAGGUUAAUUGAUGGGGUCAGCGCAAGCGAAGCUCCUGAUCGAAGCCCCGGUAAACGGCGGCCGUAACUAUAACGGUCCUAAGGUAGCGAAAUUCCUUGUCGGGUAAGUUCCGACCUGCACGAAUGGCGUAAUGAUGGCCAGGCUGUCUCCACCCGAGACUCAGUGAAAUUGAACUCGCUGUGAAGAUGCAGUGUACCCGCGGCAAGACGGAAAGACCCCGUGAACCUUUACUAUAGCUUGACACUGAACAUUGAGCCUUGAUGUGUAGGAUAGGUGGGAGGCUUUGAAGUGUGGACGCCAGUCUGCAUGGAGCCGACCUUGAAAUACCACCCUUUAAUGUUUGAUGUUCUAACGUGGACCCGUAAUCCGGGUUGCGGACAGUGUCUGGUGGGUAGUUUGACUGGGGCGGUCUCCUCCUAAAGAGUAACGGAGGAGCACGAAGGUUGGCUAAUCCUGGUCGGACAUCAGGAGGUUAGUGCAAUGGCAUAAGCCAGCUUGACUGCGAGCGUGACGGCGCGAGCAGGUGCGAAAGCAGGUCAUAGUGAUCCGGUGGUUCUGAAUGGAAGGGCCAUCGCUCAACGGAUAAAAGGUACUCCGGGGAUAACAGGCUGAUACCGCCCAAGAGUUCAUAUCGACGGCGGUGUUUGGCACCUCGAUGUCGGCUCAUCACAUCCUGGGGCUGAAGUAGGUCCCAAGGGUAUGGCUGUUCGCCAUUUAAAGUGGUACGCGAGCUGGGUUUAGAACGUCGUGAGACAGUUCGGUCCCUAUCUGCCGUGGGCGCUGGAGAACUGAGGGGGGCUGCUCCUAGUACGAGAGGACCGGAGUGGACGCAUCACUGGUGUUCGGGUUGUCAUGCCAAUGGCACUGCCCGGUAGCUAAAUGCGGAAGAGAUAAGUGCUGAAAGCAUCUAAGCACGAAACUUGCCCCGAGAUGAGUUCUCCCUGAGACUUAGAGUCUCCUGAAGGAACGUUGAAGACGACGACGUUGAUAGGCCGGGUGUGUAAGCGCAGCGAUGCGUUGAGCUAACCGGUACUAAUGAACCGUGAGGCUUAACC
rnacentral:rRNA from 1 species